UGGUGGGUAGUUUGACUGGGGCGGUCUCCUCCUAAAGAGUAACGGAGGAGCACGAAGGUUGGCUAAUCCUGGUCGGACAUCAGGAGGUUAGUGCAAUGGCAUAAGCCAGCUUGACUGCGAGCGUGACGGCGCGAGCAGGUGCGAAAGCAGGUCAUAGUGAUCCGGUGGUUCUGAAUGGAAGGGCCAUCGCUCAACGGAUAAAAGGUACUCCGGGGAUAACAGGCUGAUACCGCCCAAGAGUUCAUAUCGACGGCGGUGUUUGGCACCUCGAUGUCGGCUCAUCACAUCCUGGGGCUGAAGUAGGUCCCAAGGGUAUGGCUGUUCGCCAUUUAAAGUGGUACGCGAGCUGGGUUUAGAACGUCGUGAGACAGUUCGGUCCCUAUCUGCCGUGGGCGCUGGAGAACUGAGGGGGGCUGCUCCUAGUACGAGAGGACCGGAGUGGACGCAUCACUGGUGUUCGGGUUGUCAUGCCAAUGGCACUGCCCGGUAGCUAAAUGCGGAAGAGAUAAGUGCUGAAAGCAUCUAAGCACGAAACUUGCCCCGGGAUGAGUUCUCCCUGAGACUUAGAGUCUCCUGAAGGAACGUUGAAGACGACGACGUUGAUAGGCCGGGUGUGUAAGCGCAGCGAUGCGUUGAGCUAACCGGUACUAAUGAACCGUGAGGCUUAACCUUACA
rnacentral:rRNA from 3 species